CCUAUGGGGGGCAGCAGGCGCGAAAACUCCGCAAUGCGCGAAAGCGUGACGGGGGAACCCCAAGUGCCGUUGGACUUUUCGUUCGACGGCUUUUAUGGAGUCUAGGAAGCUCCAGGAAUAAGGGCUGGGUAAGUCGGGUGCCAGCCGCCGCGGUAAUACCCGCAGCCCAAGUGGUGGUCGCGAUUAUUGGGCCUAAAGCGCUCGUAGCCGGGUUGGCAAGUCCCUUGUGAAAUCGGACGGCUUAACCGUUCGGCUUGCAAGGGAUACUGCUAGUCUUGAGGCCGGGAGACGUCGAGGGUACUCUGAGGGUAGCGGUGAAAUGCUCUAAUCCUCGGGGGACCACCAGUGGCGAAGGCGCUUGACGAGAACGGACCUGACGGUGAGGGGCGAAGGCUAGGGGAGCGAACGGGAUUAGAUACCCCGGUAGUCC
rnacentral:rRNA from 1 species